rnacentral:lncRNA from 1 species
AUUACAAGAGCACCUCCUCCCCCAACCCCAGGAGGCCCCGCUCCCCAGGCCUCGGCCGGCGCGGACCCCUGGUUGCCCCGGGGUCGAGAGCAGCCGGGGAGAGCUGAGUUCAGAGCCCAGAGUUGGACAUCAGGCCACACGCUGAGAGGGGCCCCAUGCUGCUUAGUGGCCGAUUUGCAGGGAAUCUGGGCACAAUCUUAAUAACACCAGGGCCAAAAAUAACAACGUUCCUGGGAACCGAGCAGCUGGAGCGCACCCCAUGGACGCUGGGCCAUCUCCCCGGGGACUAGUGCCUGACAGAGCUGACAGAGUUCUAGGCCACAUGUGGGCUAGAAGGAACCGCCAUGUCUACCACAGCACAGUCCUUAAGCAGGAGCCUUUUGAAGCACUUGGACUCAAAACAAUGGCUGUUUGUUGUUGUUGUUGUUGUUGUUUGUUUGUUUUGAGGGAGCCAGAAAGCUAAAAAAUGUAAAAGAAGCAGGUCACAUUAGACAUGAUUUCAGACAGCCUCCCCGAAGGACAGAUGAUCUCACUUGGCAACACAUACUGGGCCAGGCUCACUCAUGAGGGGGCAGCGUGGCAUGCACCCCACUCAGGGGCAAGAAUGAAGCUUAAAUAUUAGCUGACUCAGAACAUAGCAAGUGCUCAGUAAUGGCUUCUGGAACGAACCCGUGGUUGUCACCAGCAGGAGUGACGAAAGCUAGAAGCCGUUUCACCAUCCAAGGAAGAGGAGGAACAAUAUUUUUCUCUUUGGAGUUCCCACACUCAGAAGAGAGAACACCAGCAUAUGAACACAGAGUGUCACAUGAUGUAGGAAACAUCCUGUAGGUAGAGAGUAUAAUUCCAAAGCUUAGGAUCCUGCUAGUUCCUUGUGCAGUGCUUCCGGUGGGCAACAUGGUGCCUCCCCAGUCCCUCAGGCUUGAGGCGGGCCAGCACAGCUUCUCUGGGAGCCAGGUCAUUUCAGAAUUUAACCCCAGAACUAGGUCACCCCAGGCAACACAAGGCUCCUCUCCCUUGGAUACAGGAAGCGGAGGAAAAGGCCAGGCAUGCUCAGGGGCAAACCAACACCCAGGUGAAAGGGAGCUGGGCUGGUUUCGGGGAGCAGCCUGGUUUCAGGGAGCCGGACUCACGAUGUGCUUGAGACCCUCAAAUUCACCCCUGGAAGCAGCUGCCCCCGUGACAAGGAACUAAGGACAGGCAUGUCAUGGACUGUGAAUUGGAGUGACAUUUGUCCCUCCCUUCACCAACAGACUGCCCCAAGAGCUUCCCAAGUUAUCUGCCAUAGAAUACCUUGUUUCCCUCGAGUCUCUGAAAGGGGGCCGCAAAAGCUGUCCCCACGCUGGAAAUGCAGGGCCAGGCUUUUAAAGUUUUGCUCCCGGAUUAUGAGAACACCUAGAAAAUUCAGUGCUCCUCUCCACUCCCCCAAACCCCUUCACAAGCCCCCACCCUUUGUUUAACAAACAUAUAUAUAGUGCUUUCCUGGUACCAGAUACUACUUUAAGCACUUGACAAAAUAUUUAGUCAUACAUAAAACCCUUAUAAUUACACUGUAAUUCACUCUCGUCAGAUCCAGUCAUUGUGAAGAAACGGAGGCACGGGGAGAUUAAGAGAGCUACUUAAGAAGACACGGUGCCAGGUUUCUACCCAAGCCAUUUGGAUCUAGGGUCUGGAGGCCAUGUGAGCCAUUUUGCAUUAGAUUAACGCUUUAAUUCAGUUCACAGUUAGACAAUAUACGUUCCCCAUCUAUAUCUAUACCCAUCUGGAAGGCAACAAAAAGAUAAUAAACUGAUAGUGUCAUGUGCCCAUGACCCAGCUAACAAAGAGGCUCUGGGUUCCAAUGCCCCAGUCUUUCAUGGGAUUCCAUCGACCUCAUGCCCUGCUCCCCUCCCCAACAGAGAUGGAAACAUUAUCCUGAAUUUUGUGUUUAUCAUCCCUUGUUUCUCUCUAUAGUUUUUCCACUUAUGGUUGUAUGAUUUUUGUUUGUUUGUUUUUUGAGACGGCAUCUCGCUCUGUCACCAGGCUGGAGUGCAGUGGCGUGAUCUCGGCUCUACCUCCCAGGUUCAAGCCAUCCUCCUGCCUCAUCCUCCCGAGUAGCUGGGACUACAGGCACACGCCACCAUGCCCAGCUAAUUUUUGUAUUUUUAGUAGAGACGGGGUUUCACCUUAUGGUUGUAUCUUUAAACAAUGUCUUGUUUAGUUUUGCCAUGUUUUUGGACUGUGAAUAAGUAGAAUUAUUAUGCUGUGUGAAUUCUUCUGCUACUUGCAUUUUUGCUGCAACGUCAUGUUCCUGAAAUUCAGCCAGGAUUCAUUUAUUCCUUUUCACUGCUGUGUGAUAUCCCAUUGUAGGCAAAUAGUACACAAUAUUUAUUUAUUUUCCAGAUGGGAUCUCAUUCUGUCACCCAGGCUUGUAGUGCAGUGACCCCAUCACGAUUCACUGCAGCCUUGAACUCCUGGGCUCAAGCAAUCCUCCUGCCUCAGCCUCCUGAGUUGCUAAGGCCACAAAUAUUUAUCCAUUUUACUGCUAAUGCAAUUUGAGCUGUUUUCAACUUUUUCCUAUUAAAACAUUAUUGCUAUGAACAUUCUUAUAAAA